AUGAGGCCUGCUGAAUGGAGUAAAGGACAAAGUCAUAAGAACGAGGAAGUACUUUUCUCUGCUGCUGCACCCUCCUGUCAACCUCAACCAUCGUGGUAAAGACAUAUUCCUCCCUGACCUGACUAAGGGCUUAUUUGCUUGAGAUUCCAAUACUGUCCGCUGACACAGUCCGGAUUCCAGAAGAAACUUACGUUUGUGAAUAAAUAAACUGCUUAAUCGCUG